AUUGAACGCUGGCGGCAGGCUUAACACAUGCAAGUCGAGCGGGCGAGGUUGCUUCGGUAACUGAGCUAGCGGCGGACGGGUGAGUAAAGCUUAGGAAUCUGCCUAUUAGUGGGGGACAACAUUCCGAAAGGGAUGCUAAUACCGCAUACGUCCUACGGGAGAAAGCAGGGGAUCACUUGUGACCUUGCGCUAAUAGAUGAGCCUAAGUCAGAUUAGCUAGUUGGUGGGGUAAAGGCCUACCAAGGCGACGAUCUGUAGCGGGUCUGAGAGGAUGAUCCGCCACACUGGGACUGAGACACGGCCCAGACUCCUACGGGAGGCAGCAGUGGGGAAUAUUGGACAAUGGGCGCAAGCCUGAUCCAGCCAUGCCGCGUGUGUGAAGAAGGCCUUUUGGUUGUAAAGCACUUUAAGCGAGGAGGAGGCUACCGAGAUUAAUACUCUUGGAUAGUGGACGUUACUCGCAGAAUAAGCACCGGCUAACUCUGUGCCAGCCGCCGCGGUAA
rnacentral:rRNA from 1 species